rnacentral:rRNA from 1 species
UACAGAGGUGGCAAGCGUUGUUCGGAAUCACUGGGCUUAAAGCGCGUGUAGGCGGCUUGGCAAGUGUCGUGUGAAAUCCUGCGGCUCAACCGCAGAACUGCACGGCAAACUGCCCGGCUUGAGGUCGGUAGAGGUGCCUGGAACUCUAGGUGGAGCGGUGAAAUGCGUAGAUAUCUAGAGGAACACCGGAGGCGAAAGCGGGGCACUGGGCCGAUUCUGACGCUGAGACGCGAAAGCGUGGGGAGCAAACAGG